rnacentral:rRNA from 1 species
CCUACGGGUGGCAGCAGUGAGGAAUAUUGGUCAAUGGCCGGAAGGCUGAACCAGCCAAGUCGCGUGAGGGAAUAAGGCCCUAUGGGUCGUAAACCUCUUUUGUCAGGGAGCAAAGGCGUCCACGAGUGGACGAAAGGAGAGUACCUGAAGAAAAAGCAUCGGCUAACUACGUGCCAGCAGCCGCGGUAAUACGUAGGGGGCAAGCGUUAUCCGGAAUUACUGGGUGUAAAGGGAGCGUAGACGGUGAUGCAAGUCUGGAGUGAAAGGCGGGGGCCCAACCCCCGGACUGCUCUGGAAACUGUGUAACUUGAGUGCAGGAGAGGUAAGCGGAAUUCCUAGUGUAGCGGUGAAAUGCGUAGAUAUUAGGAGGAACACCAGUGGCGAAGGCGGCUUACUGGACUGUAACUGACGUUGAGGCUCGAAAGCGUGGGGAGCAAACAGGAUUAGAUACCCCGGGUAGUC